UGCUUAAUACAUGCAAGUCGAGCGAACAGACGAGGAGCUUGCUCCUCUGACGUUAGCGGCGGACGGGUGAGUAACACGUGGAUAACCUACCUAUAAGACUGGGAUAACUUCGGGAAACCGGAGCUAAUACCGGAUAAUAUAUUGAACCGCAUGGUUCAAUAGUGAAAGACGGUUUUGCUGUCACUUAUAGAUGGAUCCGCACCGCAUUAGCUAGUUGGUAAGGUAACGGCUUACCAAGGCAACGAUGCGUAGCCGACCUGAGAGGGUGAUCGGCCACACUGGAACUGAGACACGGUCCAGACUCCUACGGGAGGCAGCAGUAGGGAAUCUUCCGCAAUGGGCGAAAGCCUGACGGAGCAACGCCGCGUGAGUGAUGAAGGUCUUCGGAUCGUAAAACUCUGUUAUUAGGGAAGAACAAAUGUGUAAGUAACUAUGCACGUCUUGACGGUACCUAAUCAGAAAGCCACGGCUAACUACGUGCCAGCAGCCGCGGUGAUACGUAGGGUGCGAGCGUUGUCCGGAUUUAUUGGGCGUAAAGGGCUCGUAGGUGGUUGAUCGCGUCGGAAGUGUAAUCUUGGGGCUUAACCCUGAGCGUGCUUUCGAUACGGGUUGACUUGAGGAAGGUAGGGGAGAAUGGANUUCCUGGUGGAGCGGUGGAAUGCGCAGAUAUCAGGAGGAACACCAGUGGCGAAGGCGGUUCUCUGGGCCUUUCCUGACGCUGAGGAGCGAAAGCGUGGGGAGCGAACAGGCUUAGAUACCCUGGUAGUCCACGCUGUAAACGGUGGGUACUAGGUGUGGGGUCCAUUCCACGGGUUCCGUGCCGUAGCUAACGCUUUAAGUACCCCGCCUGGGGAGUACGGCCGCAAGGCUAAAACUCAAAGGAAUUGACGGGGCCCCGCACAAGCGGCGGAGCAUGCGGAUUAAUUCGAUGCAACGCGUAGAACCUUACCUGGGUUUGACAUGGAUCGGGAGUGCUCAGAGAUGGGUGUGCCUCUUUUGGGGUCGGUUCACAGGUGGUGCAUGGCUGUCGUCAGCUCGUGUCGUGAGAUGUUGGGUUAAGUCCCGCAACGAGCGCAACCCUUGUUCACUGUUGCCAGCACGUUAUGGUGGGGACUCAGUGGAGACCGCCGGGGUCAACUCGGAGGAAGGUGGGGAUGACGUCAAGUCAUCAUGCCCCUUAUGUCCAGGGCUUCACGCAUGCUACAAUGGCUGGUACAGAGAGUGGCGAGCCUGUGAGGGUGAGCGAAUCUCGGAAAGCCGGUCUCAGUUCGGAUUGGGGUCUGCAACUCGACCUCAUGAAGUCGGAGUCGCUAGUAAUCGCAGAUCAGCAACGCUGCGGUGAAUACGUUCCCGGGGCUUGUACACACCGCCCGUCAAGUCAUGAAAGUUGGUAACACCCGAAGCCGGUGGCCUAACCGUUGUGGGGGAGCCGUCGAAGGUGGGACUGGUGAUUAGGACUAAGUCGUAACAAGGUAACCAA
rnacentral:rRNA from 1 species